rnacentral:pre_miRNA from 1 species
UUCAAGUGCAAUCAUGAUUUUUUUUUUUUGCCUAACUUUAAUCGUACUUCUUAUUUAAAACUUUUUUAUAAUUAGUAUUUUAUUGUUAUAAGAUAAUAAAGUAUGAAUAAUACUUUAUACUGUUUUUAAAAUUUAUUAAUUUUUUUAAAAUAAGAGAAACAAUUAAAGUUGAACACAGAAAAUUAUGCUUAAAAUUAUG